UACGUAGGGUGCGAGCGUUAAUCGGAAUUACUGGGCGUAAAGCGUGCGCAGGCGGUUUGUUAAGUCCGUUGUGAAAGCCCCGAGCUCAACUUGGGAAUUGCAGUGGAUACUGGCAGGCUGGAGUACGGUAGAGGAAGGUGGAAUUCCCGGUGUAGCAGUGAAAUGCGUAAAUAUCGGGAGGAACACCAGUGGCGAAGGCGGCCUUCUGGACCAGUACUGACGCUCAUGCACGAAAGCGUGGGGAGCAAACAGG
rnacentral:rRNA from 1 species